GCUAGCGGCGUGCUUAACACAUGCAAGUCGAACGGAAAGGCCCUGCUUUUGUGGGGUGCUCGAGUGGCGAACGGGUGAGUAACACGUGAGUAACCUGCCCUUGACUUUGGGAUAACUUCAGGAAACUGGGGCUAAUACCGGAUAGGAGCUCCUGCUGCAUGGUGGGGGUUGGAAAGUUUCGGCGGUUGGGGAUGGACUCGCGGCUUAUCAGCUUGUUGGUGGGGUAGUGGCUUACCAAGGCUUUGACGGGUAGCCGGCCUGAGAGGGUGACCGGCCACAUUGGGACUGAGAUACGGCCCAGACUCCUACGGGAGGCAGCAGUGGGGAAUAUUGCACAAUGGGCGGAAGCCUGAUGCAGCAACGCCGCGUGCGGGAUGACGGCCUUCGGGUUGUAAACCGCUUUCGCCUGUGACGAAGCGUGAGUGACGGUAAUGGGUAAAGAAGCACCGGCUAACUACGUGCCAGCAGCCGCGGUGAUACGUAGGGUGCGAGCGUUGUCCGGAUUUAUUGGGCGUAAAGGGCUCGUAGGUGGUUGAUCGCGUCGGAAGUGUAAUCUUGGGGCUUAACCCUGAGCGUGCUUUCGAUACGGGUUGACUUGAGGAAGGUAGGGGAGAAUGGAAUUCCUGGUGGAGCGGUGGAAUGCGCAGAUAUCAGGAGGAACACCAGUGGCGAAGGCGGUUCUCUGGGCCUUUCCUGACGCUGAGGAGCGAAAGCGUGGGGAGCGAACAGGCUUAGAUACCCUGGUAGUCCACGCUGUAAACGGUGGGUACUAGGUGUGGGGUCCAUUCCACGGGUUCCGUGCCGUAGCUAACGCUUUAAGUACCCCGCCUGGGGAGUACGGCCGCAAGGCUAAAACUCAAAGGAAUUGACGGGGCCCCGCACAAGCGGCGGAGCAUGCGGAUUAAUUCGAUGCAACGCGUAGAACCUUACCUGGGUUUGACAUGGAUCGGGAGUGCUCAGAGAUGGGUGUGCCUCUUUUGGGGUCGGUUCACAGGUGGUGCAUGGCUGUCGUCAGCUCGUGUCGUGAGAUGUUGGGUUAAGUCCCGCAACGAGCGCAACCCUUGUUCACUGUUGCCAGCACGUUAUGGUGGGGACUCAGUGGAGACCGCCGGGGUCAACUCGGAGGAAGGUGGGGAUGACGUCAAGUCAUCAUGCCCCUUAUGUCCAGGGCUUCACGCAUGCUACAAUGGCUGGUACAGAGAGUGGCGAGCCUGUGAGGGUGAGCGAAUCUCGGAAAGCCGGUCUCAGUUCGGAUUGGGGUCUGCAACUCGACCUCAUGAAGUCGGAGUCGCUAGUAAUCGCAGAUCAGCAACGCUGCGGUGAAUACGUUCCCGGGGCUUGUACACACCGCCCGUCAAGUCAUGAAAGUUGGUAACACCCGAAGCCGGUGGCCUAACCGUUGUGGGGGAGCCGUCGAAGGUGGGACUGGUGAUUAGGAC
rnacentral:rRNA from 1 species